rnacentral:rRNA from 1 species
CUCUUAGAUGUUCUGGGCCGCACGCGCGCUACACUGAUUCAUGCAACAAGUUUUGUCCUUGGCUGAUAGGCCUGGGUAAUCUUUGAACGUGAAUCGUGAUGGGGAUAGAUGAUUGCAAUUAUUCAUCUUCAACGAGGAAUUCCUAGUAAACGCAAGUCAUCAGCUUGCAUUGAUUACGUCCCUGCCCUUUGUACACACCGCCCGUCGCACCUACCGAUUGAAUGGUCCGGUGAAAUCUUCGGAUCUGAGAGAUGUCUGAUUAAUUUCGGACGCCUUUUGGAAAAGUUGCUUAAACCUUACCAUUUAGAGGAAGGUGAAGUCGUAACA